GUUCAGUGCUGAGCCAGGGAAAACCUCGCCCAGCUGAGCAGGGCUCGUCACACUACAUGGGCGCUUGUGGAAGAUCGGGGUUGGCACAUCUCCAAACCGCACAAACAGCAAACUUCGAGCCCUUGGCACUCACAUGGAAAAAGCAAUGGCCUAAGAGUGUCAGAGGUGACCAGGUGAGAGAAGGGUCCAUUGAAAUUCCUUGUCAGCAAACAUCUCCCUCCAAUACCUUUUUGGGACCCGAACAGCAGGUGGGGCAGGGUCUGGCUGGGGUUUCCUCACUCACUCCCACCCCCUGGGUAAAACUCCCUCAGAAACCUUUGCUGGGGCUCCUUCCUCGAGGCAGCUCAGUGGGUGCAACACCGACGAUCCACGCCGCGCAGAGCCAGUGCAGACUUUGAUUCAGGUUCCCAAGAAGCUGGUGCCAGCCAGCAGCAGCCCAGGACGCACACUUUCAGCAAGGCCCACGUUCUCCUAUCAGCCCUGAAAACACAGAUGGCAUCGUCUAUGCCAGGAUGUGCCGGGCCCCAAACACUGCAGAUGUUCGGCACAGCACAUCCCGGUACCGAGCCCUGCCGACACCACAGGCAGCCUCUGGCAGCACUUGCAGGGCUGCUGCUGAUGUUGCUGGUGGACUGGGUCCUGCUAUUCUGCCAUGGAUGUGAUGUCAAGGACGUCAAGGAUGUGAUGCCAAUAAGCACACCGCCUAGCACCAGUGUCGCCAUCCUCUUACGGACGACACGCCUUUAUGAGAGAUGGUCUAUCAAGGAAAAGUCACUGUGGGAGCGAGGACGCUGGGAGGGCUGGAAGUGGUCUCAAAUACACGUGGUCUCAGGCUCUGGUGACAGCCGUGCACAACGUUGCAACAGGGCUUGCCUUCGACUUGGCAGCUGUUCUGUUUUGCCUCUAGGUGCCCUGCCGUAA
rnacentral:lncRNA from 1 species